rnacentral:ncRNA from 1 species
CCGGUCCUCGGUAGUGGCCUCCGGAAAGCGUGAGACACCCGCGUCCGUGGGCUUCGAUCGAAGACCGU